AGUGAGCCCGUUUUACUAACAUGCUGUGUUAAAAUCUAAUUCAGGUUUGUUGUAUAUCAUUUACUGUUACAGAGGAAUAGCAGACUCCAGUAUUCUCUAUUCUGAUAGCCCUGAGUCCUUGGAGAUUUGCUUUCCUGAUGUGUUGGCAUCACUGGGAGUCAGAGGUGAAGAGCUUUCCUGUGCCAGAAGCUUGUAACUACUUAGAGCUCAGCAGCUUGACACUGCUGCUGCAUUUACCUCUUUCUCCAGAGAACCAGCAGAAUAUGGAACAAAACUCCUUAGAAAAGCACUUAAAAUGAUGCCAAUUUUAACUGCACCAGGGGAAGGUCCUUUUAGGUUUUGCAAGGACAAGCAGAAGUGACAGCUCUUGUCUUGAAUUCUGUUUUUGCCUUCAGCAUCCCUUAUGGCCUGCAGGAUGCCUGUGCUUGCUGCCUGUUCUGAUGGUGAAAUGACACCUGGAGUUCUGCAGGGUUCAGUGUUAUUUACGGCUGAGAGCAGGGCUGAGUUCUGGAGCUUGCUUCAACUGCUGCCGAUCAUGCCUUGAGGUUUGGAGCUCCAGCAGACCCAGCAGGAGAAACAGGCUGUGGUGUCUGCAGUGAGGGUCUGUAGGGUGCUGAAACUUCAUCUUCUCAACGUGGGUUCAAGCUCACAGUAGCCAAAGUGUGUGGUGAUGCUGCUGGUUCCGAGUGCUUCCUGCAACCUGUGUGCUUGGAUGUUGAAGAGAAAUGAUUGUUCUGUUCCCAGUGCCCUUUCUUGCCUUUGCUGUGCUGCUGCUGAAUACCUCCCAGAGCUGUAACCUUGCCCUUCUCCCACUCAUCUCCCUCCUGAGCUGUUUUCACAUUCUGAAGCACUCUGCUUUCAGUCGGUGUUUUCCCUGCAUGCUAAGAAGGGUUAUAAAAAACCCCAAACAACUAAAUAAAGAUGCCACCUCCAGUGA